UACGGAUCUGGUUAUUAUGAAGUUAAUUUCAUGAUAAGUUGGUCAAUUGACCAAUAUAGUGUUGACAUGCAGACAAAGAGAUUACUUUCUGUCUGCGUGUCGAUACUGUAUUGGUUAAUUAAUCAAAGUUAACUUCAUGCUAAUCAUUUCCGUG
rnacentral:pre_miRNA from 1 species